CGAGUAAGCCAGACGGCCGCGCAGGCGAGGCCUGUGAGGAAAGUCCGAGCUCCACAGGGCAGGGAUAGCGGGUAACGCCCGCCGAAGGCGACUUCAGGACAAGUGCAACAGAGAUAGACCGCCCGCAUUUUGCGGGUAAGGGUGGAAAGGUAGGGUAAGAGCCUACCGGCCCGCCGGGAGACCGGUGGGUCCUGUAAACUCUAUCCGGAGCAACACCGACUUAGAGGUUAAGCCGGCCCGGCGUCUCUAGACAGGUGGCUUGAGCCGAGGGGGCAACCCCCGGCCCAGAUAGAUGGCUGUCGAAUACAGAACUCGGCUUACAGACUUGCUCGUAUA
rnacentral:RNase_P_RNA from 1 species